UGUUGAAUAUUUAAUAUUUUAAGUGAAGGAAAAGCUACCAAAUAUUUUAUUUUUUAUCCCAUAAUUUGGAUGAUAAAACAAUAUAUAUUUACAAAGGGCAUUUAAAGUAAAUCAUUAAUUAUAUAUUUUGCUCUUCAUCCCAUAAUCCUGGAUGAAAGUAAAAUAUGGAUCUGCAAAGAUCAUCAAUAUAUAUUUUUACGAGGUAGUUUGGAAAGAUGAAGAUAAAUGAACAUACUUUAUAUAAUUAUUACUAUAUGUCUUUGGAAUGAUUGGGCUAUAUUUUGUAAGAAAAGUUGAUGAAUGUUGAAUUUUUAAUAAUCAAAGUGAAGGAAAAACUCAUCAAAUGAUUUCAUAUUAAUGACAUUUCAAUAUGAAAACUAAAAUUGUGAAAGAAAUUGACCAAAAGACAAUCAUGGCCAAAUAUUUUAAUAUCCAUCCUAUAACCUUGGAUUAUAAAACAGUAUGGAUUU